rnacentral:rRNA from 1 species
AUUGAACGCUGGCGGCAUGCCUUACACAUGCAAGUCGAACGGCAGCGGACCUUCGGGUGCCGGCGAGUGGCGAACGGGUGAGUAAUGCAUCGGAACGUGCCAUUGAGUGGGGGGAUAACGUAGCGAAAGUUGCGCUAAUACCGCAUAUUCUGUGAGCAGGAAAGCAGGGGACCGCAAGGCCUUGCGCUGAUUGAGCGGCCGAUAUCAGAUUAGCUAGUUGGUGGGGUAAAGGCCUACCAAGGCUACGAUCUGUAGCGGGUCUGAGAGGAUGAUCCGCCACACUGGAACUGAGACACGGUCCAGACUCCUACGGGAGGCAGCAGUGAGGAAUAUUGCGCAAUGGCCGAAAGGCUGACGCAGCGACGCCGCGUGAGGGAUGAAGUCCGUUAGGAUGUAAACCUCUUUUGCAGGGGAUGAACGUCUCGCUAUACGCGGGAUUGACCGUACCUGCGAAUAAGGAUCGGCUAACUACGUGCCAGCAGCCG